UACGUAGGGGUCUAGCGUUGUCCGGAAUUAUUGGGCGUAAAGAGCGUGUAGGCGGCCUGACAGGUCUGCUGUGAAAACUCGAGGCUCAACCUCGAGAUGUCGGCGGAAACCGUAUGGCUAGAGUCCGGAAGAGGAGAGUGGAAUUCCUGGUGUAGCGGUGAAAUGCGCAGAUAUCAGGAAGAACACCCGUGGCGAAGGCGGCUCUCUGGGACGGUACUGACGCUGAGACGCGAAAGCGUGGGGAGCGAACAGG
rnacentral:rRNA from 1 species